CGCGGUAAUUUGACCGUGCGAAGGUAGCAUAAUCAAUAGUCUUUUAAUUGGAGGCUUGAAUGAAUGGUUGGACGAGGGGUAAGCUGUCUCUUUUGACGUAUGUUGAAUUUGACUUUUAAGUGAAAAGGCUUAAAUUAAUUAGAGGGACGAUAAGACCCUAUAAAACUUAAUACAAAUUUGGCUUGGUUUGUGAUUUGUGUGAAAAGUAGUCUUGUUUAGUUUGUAUUUCGUUGGGGCGACGAAGAUAUAAAAUGUAACUGUCUUUAAAAUUUAAUAGUGUUAGUUAGUAUUUGAUCCUUCUUUGUGGAUUAAAAGAAUAAGUUACUUUAGGGAUAACAGCGUAAUUUUUUUUGAGAGUUCUUAUCGACAAAAGUAGUUGCGACCUCGAUGUUGAAUUAAAGUUUCAGUUAGGUGUAGCCGUUUAACUGGUAAGUCUGUUCGACUUUUAAAACUUU
rnacentral:rRNA from 1 species